rnacentral:rRNA from 1 species
CUUAAAGGAAUUGACGGGGACCCGCACAAGCGGUGGAUGAUGUGGUUUAAUUCGAUGCAACGCGAAAAACCUUACCCACCUUUGACAUGUACGGAACUUGCCAGAGAUGGCUUGGUGCUCGAAAGAGAACCGUAACACAGGUGCUGCAUGGCUGUCGUCAGCUCGUGUCGUGAGAUGUUGGGUUAAGUCCCGCAACGAGCGCAACCCUUGCCAUUAGUUGCUACGAAAGGGCACUCUAAUGGGACUGCCGGUGACAAACCGGAGGAAGGUGGGGAUGACGUCAAGUCCUCAUGGCCCUUAUAGGUGGGGCUACACACGUCAUACAAUGGCUGGUACAGAGGGUUGCCAACCCGCGAGGGGGAGCCAAUCCCAUAAAGCCAGUCGUAGUCCGGAUCGCAGUCUGCAACUCGACUGCGUGAAGUCGGAAUCGCUAGUAAUCGCGGAUCAGAAUGUCGCGGUGAAUACGUUCCCGGGUCUUGUACACACCGCCCGUCACACCA